UACAGAGGGUGCGAGCGUUGUCCGGAAUCACUGGGCGUAAAGGGCGCGUAGGUGGUGGCUUAAGCGUGCGGUGAAAGCUCGGAGCUCAACUCCGAGUCGGCCGUGCGAACUGGGCUCACUGGAGCAUAGUAGAGGCAGGUGGAAUUCCGGGUGUAGCGGUGGAAUGCGUAGAGAUCCGGAAGAACACCGGUGGCGAAGGCGGCCUGCUGGGCUAUGGCUGACACUGAGGCGCGCCAGCGUGGGGAGCAAACAGG
rnacentral:rRNA from 1 species